rnacentral:rRNA from 1 species
AUGCCUCCCAGACGCAAACCCCAACCGUCGGCGAAGAAACCCCUGCGCCGCUCCGGAAGGGUCAAUUCCACCGCGGCCAUGGCCGAUUCCGCCGAUCCAACCCCGUCCCCGCCGCCGCUGGAAGCCUCCCCCGCCGCCGCCAAGCCCGUCUCCGUCGAUCCGGCCCCGGAGUCGGCCUCCCCCGCCGCCAAGCCCGUCUCUGCCGAUCCGGCCCCGGAGGCGGCCACCCCCGCCGCCGCCGCCAAGACCGUCUCCGCCGAUCCGGCCCCGCACCAGGCCCCGGAGGCGGCCACCCCCGCCGCCGCCGCCGGGUCCGAUCUGGACGGCCCGCCCCGGAGAUCCGCCACCGCCGGCAAGCUCAAGAAGCCCUUCACCGACAAGCUCCGCGCCGCCGCGGAGGAGCGCCUCGCGCGCAUCCCUGUCGACCUCCGCCUCCGCCCGCUGGACCCCCCGCCGCCCUCCAUCUCCAACCACGAGGCCGCCCUCCGCGCCCUCGGCCUCCUCGACUUCGCGCGGUUUGACCCCGGAUCUGAGCCCCCGCGCCCCGACCUCGUCGCGCAGCUCAUCGCCUAUUACGACCGGAUUAAUCAGCGCAGCUUCGUCUGGGACACCCGCGUCGGCCUCAACCGCUCCGAAUUGGCCAUCGCCUUCUCCCUCCCCAAAAAGCCAGUCGGGCCGCCCGCCCCGCCCCGAGGGAUCAAAACCGCGGCCUUGGUCUCCGCCGCCCAGGAGUUCAUGCGCGUCUGCAUCCAUCCCUGGUUCACGGAUUGCGCACUGUCGCAGGAGGUGGCCGGGGCGGAACAGACUGUGAAGGACGGGUCACCGCAUAAGGUUAACUGGGGCGGCAUCAUCUGGGGUAUCAUGGAGAAGGAGAUUCACGAGCUGCCCGAGAGGGGUGAUGGGGUGUGCCAAUACGGCGCGUAUCUUCAGCGGCUCAUCCGGGUGCAGAAGCCGCUGCUGUUUGAGCUGCCGCAGAAAGAGGAGGCGGGGAAGCUUGUUCAGAUGGUGUCUUCUGAUUUAGUUAAGGACGAGCGGGAUGGAGACGCAGAUGCCAGGAACAAGGGCUUGCAGGAGGUGGAGCCUAGAGAUGCAGAUGCGGAUGCGAGCAGCAAGGGCCUGAAGGAAUCUGAGUUAGAGGGUGUGAGUCUGACCAGCAAUAGCUUGGAUGAAUCGGGGCCCGCAGAUGCUGAUGCUAGUGGUAAUGACUUGAAGGAGUUGGAGUCUGGGGAUGUGAGGCGCAACAUCUUGGAGGAAUCAGAGACAGCAGGUGUGGAUUUGAGGAGCAAUGAUUUGAAUGAGUCUGGGGAUGUGACCAAGAUAUUGGAGGAAUCUGAGACAGCAGCUGUGGAUUUCAGGAGCAAUGACUUGAAUGAGUCUGGGAAUGCGAGGAGCAACAUCUUGGAGGAACCAGAGACAGAAGGUUCGGAUUUGAGGAACAAUGACUUAAAGAAGUCAGAUUCUGGGGAUGCAGGGAGCAAGAGCAUGGAUGAAUUGGCGGAUGUGGAUGCUAAUGCAAUGAGCAAGUCACAGGAUACAUCAGUGGUGGCUGAUGGGGAUGCAAAGGGCAUGGGCUCGGAUGUUGAGAUGGAGUCAGGGGAUGCUGAUGCUAAUGCAGGGAGCAAGUCACCGGGUACAUCUAAGGUGAUGGAUGAGGAUGCUAAGGGCUUGGAUGUCGAGAUGGAGUCAGGCGAUGUGGAUGCUAAUGCAGGGAGCAAGUCACUGGAUACAUCAAGGGUGAUGGAUGAGGAUGCAAAGGGAUUGGAUGUUGAGAUGGAGUCAGGGGAUGCAGAUGCUAAUGCAGGGAGCAAGUCACUGGAUUCAUCGAAGGUUAUGGAUGAGGAUGCAAAGGCCUUGGAUGUCGAAUUGGAGUCGCAGGCUAUUGAUCCUAAUGCAAGCAAUAAUUCGCCGGAUACAUUUAAGGUGGUUAAUGAGGAUGCAAAGGUCAUGAGUUUGGAUGUCGAAUUGGAGUUAGGGGAUGCAGAUGCUAAUGCAAGGAACAAGUCACCAGAUACAUCAAAGUUGGUGUAUGAGGAUGUAAAGGUGGACAUGGAUGCUAAUGCAAGCAGCAACAAACUGGAGACACCCAAUGUGGCGGAUGAGGACGGCAAAUUGCUGUUCGGGGGUGUGGAUGCUAGUGCAAGCAGCAAUACACUGGAGCCACCAAAUGUGGCUGAUGAGGAUGAUGAAUUGCAGUUGGGGGAUGUGGAGAGAUUGGAGACAUCAAAGGUGGCGGAUGGGGAUGUAAAGGGCAUGAGCUUGGAGCAAUCAAAGGCAGGGGAUGCCAUGGUGCUGGAGGAAGCUGUAGCUCCUACACAUGAAACGAAUGCUGUGAAUGGUGAGGUUUUGGCAGACUUUGCAUGGGAGGAAGAUGAAGACACAAUUGUGGGUGCAGCAGAGAAGGAUGCAUGCCCAUCGCCGGAGGUGGAACUGUUGACACAGGAGAAAGUGCUAGUAGGGCCAGAGGAGGAUGAGGAGGCAGAAGAGGAAGAGAAGGAUGAGGCAGGGUGGAGCUCUGCCAAUGAUGACGAUGACAGUAUGGAUGUCGAAGAUAAUGUAUCUGUCCAAAAUCUGGAUACUGAUAAUGAGGAGGCGGAGGAGUCAGAGCAUGAUGCAUUUGAGGGGUGUAGUGGUGGAGUGGAGAUGAACUGGGGUAUUGGGGAUGACAAGGGGGGCGAGGGGACGACGCAUUGUUUACAGCAAUGUGAUUUUCCAGGGGUGGAGUUUGAGAAUUUGAAUAAAGGGAAUGUUGGGAUGAGGGAUGGUGUGAGCUUUGAUGAUGGAUUCAAAAUGGGUUCCUUGCAUGGGAUGGAGUCAAACCUCCUCCAGGCUAUGAACUCAGAUCCUGCGACAUACAAUGGCACGGAGAAUGCACAUGACCUGUCCUCUGGAAAUUUCUUGGCUAUGGGGGCUGAUGCACAUAAGAAUGGAGUGGACCUGGGGACUGGCAAUUCAUUUUUCUUUGGCAAUAAUAAUGGGAAGAGGCACGUUGAGGAUAUUGAUGAUGGGUACAAUGACCAGAUGCAAACACAACAGCAGUUUCUGCAGGGCAAUCAACAUAAGCGGAUGCGGAACUCCAGCAGUAGUGUACCACCUGGAUCAGCAUUCUUCAAUGCAAAUUAUUCAGAACCCAUACAGAACUUAUUGGUCAAUGCCAGCAUGUUAUACGAACAGAAAGAGAGAGAGAUUCAAGAGGCGCUGUCACAGAAGCAAUUUAUGGCUAACUUGCUGCAGGAGAAGGAAGCAAUUAUCCACUCACUAAACUCUGCCAGGUUUGAGCAAGAGAAUAAGUUGCAAGCAAAGCUUAGGUGCUUUGAGCAUGAUCUGAAUGUGAUGGGUCAGUUGGUCAGUGGGUAUAAGAGGGCUUUGAAACAGAGUUAUGCUUCUUUCAAUGAGUACAGGAAGAAGUUCCCUUCUAACGAGUUCCAUUAUCGUGAUGUUCCUAAUGGCGGCGGUCUUGUCCUUAGCGUCAGGGAGUUGGAGAGGGAGUUGGAGAGGAAACGGUGUGAGGAAGAGCAGCAGAAAAUUGCUGCAGCAAAUGAGAUGAUUGGAAAUUUCAAGCUUGAAUGGCUUUCAAAGCCUGAUGAUUGGGAAGAUCGCAUCAACCUUUUGUGGCGCAAAACUGAAGGGCUGGCUCGGGAGCUUGAUCUUCUCAAGGAAAAAAGAAAAGCAAAGCUUGCAGCCCUUGCUAGGGAAGAAUGA